rnacentral:rRNA from 1 species
AUUGAACGCUGGCGGCAGGCCUAACACAUGCAAGUCGAACGAGUGGCGGACGGGUGAGUAAUGUCUGGGAAACUGCCCGAUGGAGGGGGAUAACUACUGGCAACGGUAGCUAAUACCUAAUACCAUCGGAUGUGACCAGAGGGGAUUUGCUAGUAGGUGGGGUAAAGGCUCACGUAGGCGACGAUGCCUAGCUGGUCUGAGAGGAUGACCAGCAAAACUGGAACGGAGAAGCGGUCAUAAAUCCGACGGGAGGCAGCAGUGGGAAAUAUGGCACAAUGGGCGCAAGGCUGAUGCAGCCAUGCCGAGUGGAUGAAGAAGGCCUUCGGGUUGUAAAGUACUUUCAGCGGGGAGGCGUUACCCGCAGAAGAAGCACCGGCUAACUCCGUGCCAGCCGCCGCGGUAAUUC